rnacentral:lncRNA from 1 species
CCUUCCAACGUGCUAGGACUACGGGUGUGAGCCACCACGCCCAGCUGAAAGUUUCUUAAUCUUAAGUGAGCCCUGGUAUGAGGUGUAGGUGUAAGAAUGCUUUUAUUGUUCGAUCAGACUUUAGGGUUUGAGAAAACCCAGGCGGGAUCUUAAUGGGUUUGUUUUCUCAUUCCAGCCCUCAUACUCAGGCACCGGUUUCUCCAGUUCUCUAAUGUUUAACUUAUGACUUCAUAAUUAUAGUAAAGGGUUAGUGGAAACUGUUCUGGUUGCUAAUGGAAACCUGGCCUGCUACAAUGGUGUCCCAUAAGUCUCUUAGGAUCUGUUUACUUUUCUUAAAUUGUUUUUCUAUUUCUCAGAUUCAAAAAUUUCCAUUAUUUUGCCUUCAAAUUUGUUAAUUCAUUCUUCUACUUGCUCAAAUCUCCCUUUGAAUACUUCCAGUGAAGUUUUCAUUUUAGUUACUGCGUUUUUCAGCUCCAGACUUUGUUUUAGGUUUCUUUUUAGCUCUUCUACCUUUUUAUUGGUAUUUCCGUUUUGACUUUCUUCAUCUUUUUUUAGUUCUUUUGGCAUCUUUAAGACAGUUUAGUAGAUCCGCCAUCAAGUCUGUUUCAGGGACAGUUUCUGUUUACUGUUUUUCCUUUGACUAGGCCAUAUUUUCCUGUUUCCUUAUAUGCUUUAUGAUUUUUUUUUGUCAUUGAAAAGCAAACAUUUGAAUACAAUAAUGUGAUAACUCUGGAAAUAAGAUUCUCCUUCUUCCCAAGAAAAGAGAAAAAGAAAAAAUGAAGCAGGGAGCGAAAGGUGCUGGCUUUUUAAAUCCCGCAAAGUCACUUGAGCUGGAGGAGUUUGCAACAACUGAGGAUGGCUUAUUUGUCAUCUCCAAAACAUCUGUGGGUAAAGCCCCCUGGACUGCCGCUCUUGCCUUGCAGUGUCCAUUUGGCUGUUGAAGUUUGAGUGCCAUCAUGUCACUUCAGUGUUACAAGGUUCCAUCAUCUCUACUGUUCUCAGUGAACCCAGUUCUGAAAUGGUAUCUUCUGUCUUCACCCUGGACUACAGGGAGAACCACUGCUGAGUCUUAGAGUGAUGCUGAUUCCUCUCUAACCAGAUAAUGCCUUAUUGAUUUGGUAAGUGGUGUAUACUCUGAACUUUCCUUUGAAAUAUAUUCAUCUGUUGGGUUUUCCA